ACGAACGCUGGCGGCAUGCCUAACACAUGCAAGUCGAACGAUGCCUUCGGGCAUAGUGGCGCACGGGUGCGUAACGCGUGGGAAUCUGCCUUUCGGUUCGGAAUAACUCAGGGAAACUUGAGCUAAUACCGGAUAACGUCGCAAGACCAAAGAUUUAUCACCGAAAGAUGAGCCCGCGUAGGAUUAGCUAGUUGGUGAGGUAAAGGCUCACCAAGGCGACGAUCCUUAGCUGGUCUGAGAGGAUGAUCAGCCACACUGGGACUGAGACACGGCCCAGACUCCUACGGGAGGCAGCAGUGGGGAAUAUUGGACAAUGGGCGAAAGCCUGAUCCAGCAAUGCCGCGUGAGUGAUGAAGGCCUUAGGGUUGUAAAGCUCUUUUACCCGGGAAGAUAAUGACGGUACCGGGAGAAUAAGCCCCGGCUAACUCCGUG
rnacentral:rRNA from 1 species